rnacentral:misc_RNA from 1 species
GAUGAAGAACGCAGCGAAAUGCGAUAAGUAAUGUGAAUUGCAGAAUUCAGUGAAUCAUCGAAUCUUUGAACGCACCUUGCGCCCUUUGGCCAUUCCGAAGGGCAUGCCUGUUUGAGUAUCAUGAACACCUCAACUCUUUAUGGUUUUCCAUGAUGAGCUUGGACUCUGGGGGUUUUGCUGGCUCACAGUCGGCUCCUCUAAAAUAAAUCAGCUUACCAGUGUUUGGUGUGUAUCAUGGGUGUGAUAACUAUCUACGCUUGUGGUUUUUCCACCAGGUAACCUUCAGCAGUGGAGGUUCGCUGGAGCUCAUAGAUGUCUCUCCUCAGCGAGGACAGCCCUUUGAAUGUUUGAUCUCAAAUCAGGUAGGACUACCCGCUGAACUUAAGCAUAUCAAUAAGCGGAGGA